GUGGUGUGCUGAGAUAGAGGGGUACAGGAGAGUGGUGUGCUGAGAUAGAGGGGUACAGGAGAGUGGUGUGCUGAGCGGUGUGCUGAGAUAGAGGGGUACAGGAGAGUGGUGUGCUGAGUGGUGUGCUGAGAUAGAGGGGUACAGGAGAGUGGUGUGCUGAGGUAGAGGGGUACAGGAGAGUGGUGUGCUGAGUGGUGUGCUGAGAUAGAGGGGUACAGGAGAGUGGUGUGCUGAGGUAGAGGGGUACAGGAGAGUGGUGUGCUGAGUGGUGUGCUGAGGUAGAGGGGUACAGGAGAGUGGUGUGCUGCACAGGUC